UACGAAGGGGACUAGCGUUGUUCGGAAUUACUGGGCGUAAAGCGCACGUAGGCGGAUUUGUAAGUCAGGGGUGAAAUCCCGGGGCUCAACCUCGGAACUGCCUUCGAUACUGCGGGUCUCGAGUCCGGGAGAGGUGAGUGGAAUUCCUAGUGUAGAGGUGAAAUUCGUAGAUAUUAGGAAGAACACCAGUGGCGAAGGCGGCUCACUGGCCCGGUACUGACGCUGAGGCGCGAAAGCGUGGGGAGCAAACAGG
rnacentral:rRNA from 1 species